rnacentral:rRNA from 1 species
UACGGAGGAUGCAAGCGUUAUCCGGAUUUAUUGGGUUUAAAGGGUGCGCAGGUUGUUUGAUAAGUCAGUGGUGAAAGUCUGUCGCUUAACGGUAGGAUCGCCAUUGAUACUGUUAGACUUGAAUAUGGAUGAGGUAGGCGGAAUGUGUAGUGUAGCGGUGAAAUGCAUAGAUAUUACACAGAACACCGAUUGCGAAGGCAUCUCACAAAGCCGUUAUUGACGCUGAGGCACGAAAGCGUGGGGAUCAAACAGGAUUA